rnacentral:rRNA from 1 species
UUCGCAAUGCCCGAAAGGGUGACAAUGCGACGCCGUGUGUGCGAUGAAGGUCUUCGGAUUGUAAAGCACUGUCAGCCGGGAGGAAGGUAGCUUUUUUUAAUAAAGAAAGCUGCUUGACAGUACCGGCAGAGGAAGCCACGGCUAACUCCGUGCCAGCAGCCGCGGUAAUACGGAGGUGGCAGGCGUUACUCGGAUUGAUUGGGUGUAAAGGGCGUGUAGGUGGUGAAUUAAGUCGAACGUGAAAUCCCUUGGCUCAACCAAGGAACUGCAUUCGAAACUAAUUUGCUUGAGUGAUAGAGAGGUAAGCGGAAUUCCCGGUGUAACAGUGAAAUGUGUAGAUAUCGGGAGGAACACCAGUGGCGAAGGCGGCUUCCUGGUCCGCAACUGACGCUGAGGCGCGAAAGCUAGGGGAGCAAACAGGAUUAGAUACCCCGGUAGUCCUGGCUGUAAACGAUGGGCACUAAGUAGAGGGGUUUU